GCGCAGCAGGCGCGAAUCCUUCGCAAUGCGGGAAACCGCGACGAGGGACUCCCAGUGCCUACGCUCAGCGUAGGCUGUUCCCGAGCCUAGAAAGCUCGGGGAGUAAGGGCUGGGUAAGACGGGUGCCAGCCGCCGCGGUAAUACCCGGCAGCCCGAGUGGUGGCCACUAUUAUUGGGCCUAAAGCGUCCGUAGCCGGCCCGGUAAAUGCCUGGGUAAAUCGUGAGGCCUAACCUCACGAAUUCCGGGUAGACUGCCGGGCUAGGGACCGGGAGGAGGGAGAGGGUACUCCAGGGGUAGGGGUGAAAUCCUGUAAUCCCUGGAGGACCACCGGUGGCGAAGGCGCUCUCCGUAGGACGGGUCCGACGGUGAGGGACGAAAGCCGAGGGGAGCGAACCGGAUUAGGAUACCCCCGUAGU
rnacentral:rRNA from 1 species